rnacentral:rRNA from 1 species
UACGUAGGGGGCAAGCGUUGUCCGGAUUUAUUGGGCGUAAAGAGCGUGUAGGCGGCCAUACAGGUCAGCUGUGAAAACUCGAGGCUCAACCUCGAGACGUCGGUUGAAACCGUAUGGCUAGAGUCCGGAAGAGGAGAGUGGAAUUCCCGGUGUAGCGGUGAAAUGCGCAGAUAUCGGGAAGAACACCCGUGGCGAAGGCGGCUCUCUGGGCCUGUACUGACGCUGAGGAGCGAAAGCGUGGGGAGCGAACAGG